rnacentral:tRNA from 1 species
GCCUCCGUAGCUCAGUUGGAGUAGAGCGUCGGUUUUCUAAACCGAAUGUCGCAGGUUCGAGUCCUGCCGGGGGCACCA